GACGAACGCUGGCGGCGUGCUUAACACAUGCAAGUCGAACGAAGUGGCGAACGGGUGAGUAACGCGUAAUCAACCUGCCCUUCAGAGGGGGACAACAGUUGGCAACGACUGCUAAUACCGCAUACUGAAGGUGGGGAUUGCGUCUGAUUAGCUAGUUGGCGGGGUAACGGCCCACCAAGGCGAUGAUCAGUAGGCUGGUGUGGGGGAUGAACGGCCACAUUGGGACUGAGACACGGCCCAGAAUCCUACCGGAGGCAGCAGUGGGGAAACUUCCGAAAUGGACGAAAGGCUGACGGAGCAACGCCGCGUGAGUGAUGACGGCCUUCGGGUUGUAAAGGUCUGUUAAUCGGGACGCGGUACCGGAAUAGAAAGCCACGGCUAACUACGUGCCAGCAGCCGCGGUAAUUC
rnacentral:rRNA from 1 species